GGCCGGGUGGCAGAGUGGUCAUGCAGCGGCCUGCAAAGCCGCGUACGUCGGUUCGAUUCCGGUCCCGGCCUCCA
rnacentral:tRNA from 1 species